UUUAAUGAGAGUUUGAUCCUGGCUCAGGACGAACGCUGGCGGCGUGCCUAAUACAUGCAAGUAGAACGCUGAUGUUUGGUGUUUACACUAGACUGAUGAGUUGCGAACGGGUGAGUAACGCGUAGGUAACCUGCCUCAUAGCGGGGGAUAACUAUUGGAAACGAUAGCUAAUACCGCAUAAGAGUGAUUAACACAUGUUAGUUAUUUAAAAGGAGCAAUUGCUUCACUGUGAGAUGGACCUGCGUUGUAUUAGCUAGUUGGUGAGGUAAAGGCUCACCAAGG
rnacentral:rRNA from 1 species